UUAACUCAUAUUUGUAUGUAAUAGGAUCGUUUGCGUACGUUUGCCGCUAGGGGCGCUGUUCCAACUGCAUACAAAAGCGGAUUA
rnacentral:pre_miRNA from 1 species